UUUUUUUUGAAAAUGUGAUUGUACACAGGUAAAAGAUGGUAAAAGAAGCCAUCGAUGCUCACUCAGAAGUACAAAAUAUUGGGUGGAUUCAAACUCUUUUUCUUAUGAGCAGAAUGUUCACCUUUCUUGCACACUUUAUUUUUGUCUCAAAGAGUCAAAGGUGAAUUUUCUACUCACUGUUUAUAUUACCUCUACUUCAUAAUAAAGUACUCCCCCCGUCCUAAAAUAAAUACGAAACAUUGUAUUAAAUUUACUAUAAAGUUUGUUCAUUAUUGAGUCCCUUAUUUUGAGACGGAGGGAGUAACAAGUAACAGUACAGAUUUUAUCAUCUCACUAGUCCCAUUAUGAUGCGGCCACGAUUAAUGUCAGUGUUCUCACUAUUUAUAAAAGUUUUCCACAGGUCAAUGAAUUAGAGCGCAGAAAUUUAUACAUACCAAAAUACAAUAGUUUUGGUGAGAACUACCAUGAGAAGGUUGCAUGCCUAGUUGAAGUCGUGUGCAUGCAUUCUAGUUGGUUGCAUGGUACAGAUCAAGCAAAGAAAGGUCGGCUACAUGCAUGCAUGCCAGUUUGCCAGGGAAACAAAUUACUAGGAAGGCAAUAUACACGGGACUCCUACAAGUAUGAAUCAUUAAGUGAUGAAGCUAAUUCUUUUUCUGAGAUCCCGAGAGCACCAGCACAGAUAUUGCGCCAAAAAAUUUGGGAAGCAAACACAUAUAUAUUAAUCAGAAGGAAAUCAAAGAUUGCAUCUGUUGUUAAAAAUAGAGAGCGGAAUUACUACUACUUCUGUUGGGGUCGACCAUCAGAAAAGAUCACGAGCAUCAGGAAGUUACUCACGUGGAUUUUUACAUGUUUAAAGGAGAUUGGAUGGGGCCCACCAAGCUUGCCGAUCCUGGAGUUAGUUUAAACUAAGAAAGAGUCUACAGAUUAGGAAAUAUGUGUACGUGUGUCUUUUGGAAACCUUUUAGGUGUGCGUGUGUUUCAAGUUGGCUACUUCUAUAAAGCCUAGGUGUGCGUCGUUGUAAAGAGGUCAGGUUAUAUUUCGAUAAUAAACACGAUGUGUUUUUAGGGUAAUACCCGUAUCGAGUUUUGGGGGAAGCUGUCUAAAAAUCCCUAAGUUUUGAAGGAAGCUAUAGAAAAUCUCUGUGUCGCGAUUUCUCUGUGAGAAAAUUGUUUUAUGCGUGAGUACCGUCAUUGAGAUUGGUUUUCUCGUGCUGAGCCGCAAGGUUCAAACCCUCUAUUUCGUGUACAUAGUGUGCGCGGGCAAGAGGUUACUGCUGCUGCUGGUGUGUCAUGAAAGAUCGGGCCGCCACAACAGAUCAGAUCUCACCAUCGAGGUUUGGUCUAUAUCAGGUGGUAUCAGAGCAUCAGGUUGUUCACGACACUAUGAAGAAGAUGGCGAGCGCAUCGUUAUUCAGUAAGUUAAGCUAUGGAUUUCAGUUGGAGGAGGAAGGUCGAUGGGAUGGGUUUUUCAUACUCGAGUUGUGGUACAGGAGAGAUCUUGUGCCAUGACAAUUGACCACAUGAGUUUGAUCAAUGCUGCAAGCAUCGAGAUGGUGGAGAAGCUAGAUCUACCAAUGACACCACGAGCACAACCAUACUUGUUUCGUUGGGGUCAUGAAGAGCUCAGUGUCACACAUCAAACAAAGGUACCGUUUUUGCUAGGAAAAUAUUUUUGCACGGUUUUGUGUGACGUGAUUCCGGCGCCGAUGGUUUCAUGUCACUUAUUGUUGGGCAAGCCAUGGUACAAAGAGCAUGAUGUUGUAUGUGAUUGUCAAACGCAGAUAUAUACUGUCAAGAAGGGUAAGAAGUACGACCUCGUGCCCAUGGGUCUGGAUCGUUUUAUUGCUUGGAGGGAAGAACAUCUUAAGAAGAUAAGAGAGCAAAAAGAAGAAGAAGAGAAAAAGGUCGAAGGUGCUAAAAAUUUGACGGUCAUCGUUCAAUCUGCACAUGAACAUAUUACUGAAGAGAUUGACUCAAAACCGAGGACGGUUUCGCUUUAAGGAGGAGAGGAUGAUGCGGCCACGAUUAAUGUCAGUGUUCUCACUGUUUAUAAAAGUUUUCCACAUGUCAAUGAAUCAGAGCGCAGAGAUUUAUACAUACCAAAAUACAAUAGUUUUGAUGAGAACUACCAGGAGAAGAUUGCAUGCCUAGUUGAAGUCGUGUGCAUGCAUUCUAGUUGGUUGCAUGGUACGGAUCAAGCAAAGAAAGGUCGGCUACAUGCAUGCAUGCCAGUUUAGAAACAAAUUACUAGGAAGGCAAUAUACACGGGACUCCUACAAGUAUGAAUCAUUAAGUGAUGAAGCUAAUUCUUUUUCUGAGAUCCCGAGAGCACCAGCACAGAUAUUGCGCCAAGAAAUUUGGGAAGCAAACACAUAUAUAUUAAUCAGAAGAAAAUCGAAGAUUGCAUCGGUUGUUAAAAAUAGAGACCGGAAUUACUACUACUUCUGUUGGGGUCGACCACCAGAAAAGAUCACGAGCAUCAGGAAGUUACUCACGUGGAUUUUUACAUGUUUAAAGGAGAUUAGAUGGGGCCCACCAAGCUUGCCGAUCCAGGAGUUAGUUUAAACUAAGAAAGAGUCUACAGAUUAGGAAAUAUGUGUACGUGUGUCUUUUGGAAACCUUUUAGGUGUGCGUGUGUUUCAAGUUGGCUACUUCUAUAAAGCCUAGGUGUUCGUCGUUGUAAAGAGGUGAGGUUAUAUUUUGAUAAUAAACACGAUGUGUUUUUAGGAUAAUACCCGUGUUGAGUUUUGGGGGAAGCUGUCUAAAAAUCCCUAAGUUUUGAAGGAAGCUAUAGAAAACCUCUGUGUUGCGAUUUCUCUGUGAGAAAAUUGUUUUGUGCGUGAGUACCGUCAUUGAGAUUGGUUUUCUCGUGCUGAGCCGCAAGGUUCAAACCCUCUAUUUCGUGUACAUCACGUGCGCGGGCGAGAGGUUACUGUUGCUGCUGGUGUGUCAUGAAAGAUCGGGUCACAACAACAGAUCAGAUCUCACCAUCGAGGUUUGGUCUAUAUCACAUUAUAUGUCUAGUUACUCCAAACUUUGAAAAAGUAACAGUACAGAUUUUACUAACGGCUAGUUGCUUCAAACUUUGAAAAGGUAUUUCUUUAUGUUUUCUAUGUGCGUUAGGGUCUAAGCACUCAUAGCUUUGAAAAAGUAUUUUGCUAUCCUGUAAAUCAAAUGACAUUUCAUUUUCUAUGGUCUGAGCACUCAUAAGAUUUAAGAUACAUGCACCACAUUUUUUAUACCUUUUCCAUUCCUUGCAAUUCGUAUUCUAUGAACCAGAGAUAGCCUAAGACUACCCGCAGUGGGAGUAAUAUAGGUAGUAACAUCACACAUAUCUAGGUAAAACAGAUGAUGUGGCAAGCAAUAAAUGAAGAAAGAGAAGCAUGUAGUAACAUAGCUAGUUACUACUAGUAUGAGUAAGACUGCUCACAGUGGGAAGUAACAUAGAGUAGUAACUUGACGAUGUUACUAGUCUAUGUUACUACCUCCAUAGUGGGUAGUAACAUAUGAGUGGUAUCAUGAAAGAGUUCAUUUAUUAGGCUAUAGACUCAUUAUGUCUUGAAAUGUGUGAUGUUACAGUAACUAGCUAAGUUACCACAAACCCCUGUCUCCUUAUUAAUUAGCUGCCACAUAAGCAAUCUUGUAUGGCCCCGUGUGGAUCAAUUUGGCAGUCUUACCUUGGCUGAUUUUACGCAGUGCACCUUCGUCCACAGACACAGACACAGCCCGUCAACGUUAGAAUGCCCCCGGAUCCGCUGCCUACGCUGUGCUGGGCGGCCAAGUUCUCCGCCGCCGGCCGCGAUGGCUCGCCGGAUUGGUUCGAUGGCUCGUUAUUCCUAGAUCGGCCUGGGCUUUGUUUUCUACGGGAUGCCGACGGCAAGAUUGUGGAGGGACGACACUUGCGCACAGGGGAGAGGAUCCAAAGCGGGAGGGAGAUGGUUCUUCUCGACUGUGUGGUGCAUGUUGGCGCUCGAGUCCUCCCGGAACGGCGGCGGCGGCUGACUCUGGCUCCUCCUGCCUUCUCGCCGGCGGCGCUCUCACCAUCUUCAACUUCAUCCUCGUCGCGUUCUGGAUCAAGGUUUGAGGCCUUGGCCGACGUCGAGGAGGACAGGCUCGAGGGUUCGGAUGCGGGACGCUUGGCGGAUGAAGUGGUGAAGGCAGUCCUCUCCGGUGAUGAAGAUCGCGGAAGUGGUGAGGUCUCCGGGAUUCCUGGACAAUGGUGCGGCCUAGGAGGAAGAAGACGGAUGCGGAGCUCCUGCAGGAAUUCUAGAAUGAUGUCGGGUACCCUACCCCGGCGUCCAGAGUGUGGGAGAAAGGUAGCUCAAGCUCGGCCGGCAAGGUGAGCACUGAUUCUACUCACGAUACUUUGUUUUCGUGCAGGGAGUUGGAGCGUGCUGGAUCGGAUGCCUCCCCGGUCAUGUCGCGGCCGCCGGCGGCGCCUGCACGGCCACGGCGCAGUGUCUGCAUCAGGCCGUGGAAGGGGCCUCUUCCACGACCCAGGAUCACGCCGCCGGUGGUGCUCGCGGCGUUCAUGCCGGCCUCCCCGGCGAGCCCGUCUUCGGCGGCGGUUCCGAGUCAACCAGAUGAAACGGCAACGCCGUCUUCGGCAUGCGAUGAUCGCGACGCUGUUCAAAAUUCGAUUCCUCGGGCUUCCAACUUGCAGGCUCGUGGGCCCGGCGUGUGCAUCGCCAAUCGGGCCUCGCGUCUGGGCCAAACGCUGCGGAGGGCUGACAUGUUCCAGUACAGAACAUCGAGGUGCCCUAGUACUGCAAUCGACCUUCACAGAUCAUCGACUCACCUACAGCCGCCGCCAUCAUACGCCCAAGUUCUUCGCCGGAAUCCCUCGUCACCGAUAGCUGGCCGUAAUGGCAUCCCGCCUAAGGGGGCCGCACCGGCAGGACAAGCGGCUCCGACCUUCGGAUCAACGCCCGGUUUCUCUGCCGGCUUUGGCGUCGCUGCUGGGCCACUUCGCUUCGGGGCGCCGGGUUCGUCCUCCACCGCUGCUCAUCCCGUCCAGCAGGUCCCGGCGCCGGCACGGUGCAACCAACCAGCCCGCACCUGAAGCACCUCCUGCUCGCCGUCCCAAGAAUAAGCGCAAGGGGGGACGUCGUGGUACCGCUGCCACCGGUGCCGUCACCCCGGCUGCACUUCCUUCGCCGGCGUUUCCGCCUACACCUGUGAUGGAAGCAUCUUCGGUUCAGCUACAGGCAGACGUUAAUGCAACGACUGUGACCUCUGCUGCCACAACUGGGAAGCCGCAUAAAGGUAAAAAGACAGGUCUUUGGUGUUUCAAAUGUAGGUCAGAUGAGCAUCUCUCCAAGGACUGUACGGUGGUUCAUUACUGUCACAUUUGCAACAAUCACAAACACCCUCUGCACCGUUGUUCUGUCCUCAAGCAACCAAGGCCUAGCGCCAUGCUCGGUGGAUGCGGUUUAGUGAAUGCAAUGUUCGUACAGUUGCCGGACUCGCUCUUCAAGGAGCACCUUGCACCACCUACUCUGCCGACAGCUUUGGUAACAAUUUCUGGCGGCACUUUGUCUGCUUCUGUAGUGGAGGCCGAGGUUGCUAAAAUAGCCUCGGUACAGACUUCGUGGAAGUGGGAAGCGGUGCCGCAUGGAGCUAAUGCUUUCUUGGUUUCUUUCCCGUCAGUGAACAUUUUACAGCGUGUGGCAGCUUUUGAGUACAACGUUAAAUCCCACGACGUAAAGAUUGCUUUCUCUGAGUGGAAAGUUGAUGAGAUCCCAUUGCUCCAUCCCUUGCAGUCUGUUUGGGUACAUGUCACCGGCGUUCCUCCACCCCUCCGCCAUUUCCUUGGUCUGUGGGUGAUAGGAUCAGUUAUUGGUGCCACUCAGGAUGUUGACUUGGUAUGUUUGCGACGACACAGUAUUGUGAGGAUCCAGGUGGUUGUGCACUCCUUGGAUAUUUUUAUGAAAAAUGAUGGGUCUGAUGAAGCCUCAAUCCGUUCAGAUGUUUAUGUCAAGCUUAAUGGCUAUGCAUUUCGGUAUGUACUGGAGCAGGAGGAAUUUGUACCUGACGAUGACUUCAUUCCUAGGAUCUGGGAAAACCAUGAUGACGAGCAUGAUGACGGUGCUAACCAAGAUGCGGAUAUGCCAGAUAAAGAUGCGAGCAAGAGAGCAAAAAUCGUGCAAACUGAGGGUCAUAAGACAGCACCCGGGGAUCAUUCUAUGUCUGGGGCCCCUAUGCAGACUACUCAAGCUACUGUUGCUGCUCCUUCUGGCCAUGAAGCUGCACAGUUGCAUGUGCACGUUACACCAACAGACAUGCAUGAUGGGGCGGCCACCGAGCCCUUGCAGCCAGCCAGGGCUGCGUUGGCUGCUAUGCCUGCUGAAGUAGCACUACCGCAUGUGCAGCCAGCCGCUCAGGUGCGGUCCUCAGCUGCAUGUGCACCCAUGCAGCCGCGUACGAACACGUUGCCUCCGGUGCAUGGGCUGCCAACACCCGAGCAGGCGCCGCGCGGGCAGCCUCCUGUGUGUGUGGAUGCAGCGCACGUGUUGCCUGUUGCUGCUGCUCUGGGACGUGUGCAAGAUACUACUGCGGGUUCUGUGAUGGCUUCUUCAGUUUGCGCUUCGGUCGCCGUGGUUCCUCUUGGUCCAGCUGCAUGUCACACGACUUUUGCUACUGCACCCGUCGCGACCGUUCCGAUGGAACCGGUGGCACGUCCCUCUUCACCAAUCUUGGGAGCUGCCGCGCUGCUGCUGAUUUCACAGACAACUACAGCUCAACCGACGACUCCGGAGGGUACCUUGUCUGGAGGGUUGGCUUCGCCCCUUCGACGUAGUAGCCGUCACGCCGUCUCCGCUGAUGGUUCUUCUCCAACUGAUGAGCAUUCUCUGUCGAAGGCAAUGCGUCGUCAGGCCUCCAGGAAUUUGGACUACUCACCAGGUACGUCUUCCGUAAAAUCCUUUCUUUCGUUUUCAGAUACUCGCAUUUCUACUAGCUUGAAGAACGUCGGUGUCUCUAUUGGAAAGAAUAAUUCUGAAAUUAAUUUGUCGGUUGGGGUACUUAAACAUAUGGAGAUUGACCGAUUAAAGGUUUCUCCAAAGCGUUUUAGCACCCCAUCAAACACCGAAACCGAGGACGAUGAUGAAACGGAUGCCACAUAUGAUGGUCCGCUUAUCUCCCACUUGGUUGGUGAGGUUACCGAGGUUGGAUUGGAUGACGCAAGACCUGGGUUCAUGUUUUGUGACUUCACAGCGACUUCGCGUAAAUCUAAAUCACUUCCUCGAAAAAGAAACAAAAAACGCCCAAGAAGGCAAAGAUUUCCACACCCAUUCGAGUUUCCACAUGAGAGGCAUGUUUUGGAAUAGCAGAGGUCUUUCAGACUUGGCUAAGCAUAAACACGUCGGUGAUUGUGUGCGUGAACACGGUUUGGACUUUGUGGCAAUUUCUGAGGCUGGUAAAGGUGACUUUCGCCCGCAUGUCCUCGAUCACCUAUCCGGUGGUUUCGACUAUUCGUGGCAUAGUUUACCAGCUCGUGGAAGGUCGGGAGGAAUCCUUCUUGGGAUUCACACCGCAACCAUGGAUUUAUUGGCUUUUUCGUUAGGUGAAUUUCAUAUCAAAUUUCACUUACGAAACAGAGCGGAUAAUUUUACAUGCAGCCUGGUCGCAGUCUAUGGAGCUGCCCAAGAUGAGCAUAAAUCCGCUUUCCUUCGGGAAUUGGUGAACCUGGCUAAGGAUAACCCGUACCCAAUGCUUAUUGGAGGAGACUUCAAUAUCGUUAGGUACCAGGAAGAGAAAAAUAAUGAUCGCUUCGAUACUCACUGGCCGUUCCUAUUCAAUGAUGUGAUUGACAGUUUGGAUCUUCGGGAGGUUAGUAUGUCAGGACGACAAUUCACUUGGGCUAAUAACCGUUCUGUGCCGACAUACGAGAAGCUCGAUAGGGUACUCAUGGAUACCGAAUGGGAGUUAAAAUUUCCUCUGGUAACCGUUCGAGCCCUAGAGCGUAUCGAGGCACUAUCGGACCAUGCGUCAAUCAUUCUUGACUCUAACUCUACGAACACAUCGGCCCACCGCCCUUUCAAGUUUGAAUUGGGAUGGUUGCAUCGGGAAGGUUUUGUAGACAUGGUCAAGAACAUUUGGGAGAAGCCCGCUGUGGGUCAUACACUCAUUCAGAGAUGGAACUUUAAAAUAAGGGCCAUGAGGCGACACCUCUCUGGAUGGGCUAAGCACACCAAUGGGAUGUAUAAAAAAGAAAAACAGCGCCUCUCUACCAUUAUUGAUGACCUCGAUAAAAUUGCAGAGACACGCAUCUUAUCUCAACAGGAGAUUGAUAUGAAAAAUCAAUCCAAUGAGAAGGUUGCACGUCUUUUGCGAGAAGAGGAAAUCAAAUAUUACCAAAGAUCCAAAGCUGAUUUCAUCUUGAUGGGAGAUAGUAAUACAAGAUACUUCCAAUUGGUCGCCAAUGGUCGACAUAGGAAGAAACGUAUUUAUAGUCUCCAACAAGAUGAAGGGCGGAUUGAAGGUCAAGAGGAGCUCAAAAGGUAUAUCACUAGCUACUACAAAUCUCUGUUCGGGCCGCCAGAUGAAGGGAAUUUCACCCUUGACGAGAACCGAACAGAUGAUAUUCCUCAAGUCACGGCAGAAGAGAAUGACUUCCUCACGGCACCUUUCUCAGUAGAGGAGGUGAGAGCAGCGGUGUUCCAAAUGGAACAUAACAAAGCUCCAGGACCUGAUGGCUUCCCUGCAGAAUUCUAUCAGAAUUUCUGGGAUAUCAUCAAGUCCGACCUAUUGGAGUUGUUCAAUUGUCUUCAUGCCGAUCAACUUAACCUAUUCAGGCUGAAUUUUGGCGAGAUUGUUUUGUUGCCGAAGAUUAAGGAGGCUGAACGGAUCCAGCAAUAUAGACCCAUAUGCCUACUUAAUGUCAGCUUCAAAAUUUUCACCAAAGUAGCUACGAAUAGGUUAAACUCGAUAGCUGACCAUGUUGUCCGGCCAUCUCAAACGGCGUUCAUGCAAGGAAGGAUUAUACUCGAUGGCGUAGUAAUCCUGCAUGAGACCGUUCACGAGAUGCACCGAAAAAACAUGAGUGGAGUAGUAUUCAAAAUUGACUUUGAAAAAACCUAUGAUAAGGUUAAAUGGUCUUUCCUCCAACAGGCCUUAAGGAUGAAAGGUUUCUCCGAUAAAUGGCGUCAAUGGAUCCACAAUUUUGUAACUGGAGGUAGCGUGGCCAUCAAAGUCAAUGAUGAUGUAGGCCAUUACUUUCAGACAAAAAAAGGACUGCGACAGGGUGACUCCAUGUCCCCAAUGUUAUUUAACAUUGUUGCUGACAUGUUAGCCAUUCUGGUUGAGCGCGCCAAGCAGGACGGACAGAUUGCAGGAGUAGUGCCACACCUUGUGGAUGGUGGCCUCUCUAUUCUGCAAUAUGCUGAUGACACAGUUCUUUUUAUGGAACAUGACCUGGACAAGGCUCGAAACCUGAAACUCUUGCUUUCAGCAUUUGAGCAAAUGUUGGGUCUUAAAAUUAACUUCCAUAAAAGCGAACUUUUCUGCUUUGGAGAAGCCGUUGAGGCGGCGGCCGAUUAUGCUGACCUGUUUGGUUGCACACAUGGCCAUUUCCCGAUUAAAUAUCUGGGAAUACUGAUUCAUUAUCGACGUCUCACCAUUGCGGAGUGGAAGCAUGUAGAGGAGCGGUUAGAGAACGGUUGAGCAGCUGGAAAGGCAAGUUGCUCUCUGUUGGAGGACGGCUGGUUUUGAUUAACUCUGUCCUCACAAAUAUGGUCCUCUAUAUGCUUUAUUUCUUCCAACUCCCAAAAGGGGUCCUACAAAGACUGGACUAUUUCAGAUCCAGAUUCUUUUGGCAAGGAGAUGGGGAAAAGAAAAAUUACAGACUAGCCAAGUGGAGUGUGGUUUGUAGGCCGAAAGACCAAGGUGGCCUUGGAAUUCAUGACCUGCAGGUCAAGAAUGAGGCUCUCCUUAGUAAAUGGUUGUUCAAACUUCUUACUGAGGAUGGUGUUUGGCAAACCAUACUGCGCAACAAGUAUCUAGGCCACAAGGCGGUGUCUCAGGCAUAUUGGAAACCUGGCGACUCGCACUUUUGGGCUGGCCUAAUGGCGGCAAAGAAACAUCUCUUUCGCUUUGGGUCUUUCGUGAUAAAGGACGAGUCGGAGAUUCGUUUUCGGGAAGAUAUCUGGCUAGGCGGUGCCACUCUUCGAGAACAAUAUCCAGCCUUGUACAACAUUGCUCGCGAUAAGAAUAAUACUAUUGCGCAGGUGCUCAAUUCAUCCCCCCCCCCCCGAAUAUUUCGUUCAGGCGGGAUUUGACUGGCCCCCGACUUAUGUCAUGGCAUAAUCUUUUGUCCCGUCUGGAUGCGAUUAGCCUGACAGAAGGGCGGGAUGUGUUUCGCUGGAACCUUACUACAUCAGGGUCUUUCACCAUAGACUCUAUGUAUUGUGCGCUCACGCAUUUUGAGGUACCGGUGAGUAAUAAUAAGAAAAUUUGGCGGUCGAAGAUACCAAUAAAAGUUAAAGUCUUCAUGUGGUAUCUUCGUAGGGGAGUUGUUCUAACCAAAGACAACCUCGCACGGCGCAAUUGGCAAGGGAGUAAGAAGUGUUGUUUUUUUAGUCAUGAUGAGACCAUCAGACACCUCUUUUUCCAAUGCAACUUUGCACGUUCUACGUGGUCAGUCAUCCAAAUAGCGUCAAGUUUAUAUCCGCCCACAAGUGUUGCCAACAUUUUUGGUCAUUGGUUGGACGGUAUUUCAAAUAGGUUCAAAACGCUAUUAAGGGUGGGAGCGUAUGCCUUAUUGUGGUCGCUUUGGCUAUGUAGAAAUGAUUUUGUUUUUAAUGACAAAAAUGCUUCUCCUUUGCAGGCUAUUUUCCGUUGUACGCACUCGCUUCGUAUGUGGUCUAUGCUACAACGAGCAGAGGUCUAACCGCUGUUCAAGGCGGUGUGUACGCGGUUGGAGCAGGUGGCUACGGAGGUUUUUACCCAACAUGGGUGGCAUCAUAACCUCCGAUCGGUCCAUCUCACCUUUCGACAUAGGCACAGUGUCGGUCUAUAGGACUCUACUAUUGCCGAUUUGUCGGUUUUUGUUUUCUUCUGGUUGUCAGACUUUUGGUGUUCGGCUGUGUGCAUCCUAAUUAUGCAGAGGCCGGGUGUUGCUCAUAAUGCUUUGUAUCCACCUGAUGCUACAUUUUUGAGUUAAUAAAAUCGCCCUUUAUCGGAAAAAAAGCAAUCUUGUAUUGAAAUGUGUGAUGUUACUAGUCAAGUUACUCCCAUUGUGACUAGUCUAACAUCACACAUAUCAAGGCAAGAUGAGUCUAUAGCAUAAUAAAUGAAGUAUUGUAUGUUACCACACAUAUAUUACUCCCCACUAUAAAGGAAGUAACAUAGUGUUACUACUCAUUGUGACUAGUCUAAGUUAGGAUAAGGUGGGAAGAAGAGCGGUGGGCAAGCCCCGCGGGUGCAUGUGUCACGCAACAGAGGCGGCUUGCGCGGCGAGAAAUCAGCCGAUCUAAAAAGAUAGUUUUCCAUGAUCUAAUGGAUAAACAAAGAUAUGGCUUGUAGUGCAGAUAAGGCUUGUAGUGCAUUCGUGCUUGAAGAAAUCAGGAGACAAACGGACAAGUAUGUGCGACUUUUUCAUUUGAAGACAACGUGAUCCUCCGAACCUUCUUGCAUCACAUUAUAAAAUACACAGCAGAAGUAUUGUUCUACGGUCCAUGGUUCAAGAAAAAUAGUAGACGAAGUCAAGUCAAUUCUUUUGACUGAGCUUACACUACCAUCAGGCAUCGGCACCCUAUAUAUAAUCCCAUAGCACAGGCAGCAAAUCACAUCCACACCACUAGCUCAGCGGCACAGGCCUGCAAGCCUGCAACACCCGCUACAAAAUGAAGCUUCAGGUAGCCACAGUCGCCUCCUUCCUCCUGGUGGCCUUGGCCGCGACGGCCCAGGCCGUGACGUUCGACGCGUCGAACAAGGCGUCGGGCACCUCCGGCGGCCGGCGGUUCAACCAGGCCGUCGGCCUCCCGUACUCCAAGAAGGUCCUCUCCGACGCCUCUGCCUUCAUCUGGAAAACCUUCAACCAGCGCGCCGCCGGCGACCGCAAGCCUGUCGAUGCCGUCACCCUCGUCGUCGAGGACAUCAGCGGCGUCGCCUUCACCAGCGCCAACGGCAUCCACCUCAGCGCCCAGUACGUUGGCGGCAUCUCCGGCGACGUCAAGAAGGAGGUGACCGGCGUGCUGUACCACGAGGCGACGCACGUGUGGCAGUGGAACGGGCAGGGCAGGGCGAACGGCGGGCUCAUCGAGGGCAUCGCCGACUACGUGCGGCUCAAGGCCGGGUUCGCGCCGGGGCACUGGGUGCGGCCGGGGCAGGGCGACCGGUGGGAUCAGGGGUACGACGUCACGGCGAGGUUCCUGGACUACUGCGACUCGCUCAAGCCCGGGUUCGUCGCGCAGCUCAACGCCAAGAUGAAGAGUGGGUACACCGACGACUUCUUCGCGCAGAUUCUCGGGAAGAAUGUUCAGCAGCUGUGGAAGGACUACAAAGCCAAGUUUAGAGGCUGAACACACGUUAAGUUGAUGGGUCCUUCACGGCGUGAUGGUAUAACGCACUACUUCGAAUAAGACAUGUGUGAUGGCAUAACACACUAUAUAUACUGAAAUGAUCAACAGAACAUGUGCCUUACGCUCUGUAGUGAAAGACAAAUAAACGAUUUCACUAAUUCGAAAUCAACUUUGAGUUACAUGUUACUAGCCUUAAGUUCGCGAUACGUGAGUGCGUUUGUGUGGUGGUGUGAGUGUGUGCGUGUUGUAAUCAGUUUUCUAGAAAAAACAAAAGGUUUUUGCAAAAAAAAUUAGAAAAAACAAAAGGUUGUUUGGACUUGGAAAGUCUUAAAGCUGUUUGCGCACGACAUGCUUGGAUGGGUGGAUUCACAACCGCUCUGUGUACCACCAUUUUUUGUCCUAUAUUUGUAGGACUAGACAGUGAAGACAUGCAGCAUGUUAUGACCCACAAACUGGAUCAACUCUGAUUGUACUAGUGUUGGAUACAAAUUCAUCGUAUUAUACUAGUGGCAGCUAGUUUUGAAAUAGAAAACCCUACAAAUUAGGUUUUGUUGAAUGUAGCCCAUUUUAGAUCGUUUUGUGAUGAAUUUGAUUCCAAUAAUCGAAUUCAUUUUUAAUUCUUUGAUUUGCAAUUUGGUGUUUGAUUGAUGGCAAGUAGGUCAAAGCUGGAAGAGGGCGAUGGAUUUGUUUUGCGCCGGGGAUGAGCUUUUGCUGGCCAAGUGCUAGGAGAUAUGCACCUGGUUUUCGAGCUCGAAAUCUCUCGUGAUGCACUCACUGGGCCUCGCGUUGGAAGUGAUAACGGAUGAGCGGAAGCAGUUACUUCCUAAAGGCAAGGGGACAGUCCCAAUUGAGAUUCUCCUGUGGGCAAUGGCAGAGGCGAUGGAGUCUCCAUAUCGUCGACAGCGAGCCCGCUGGUAUGAGUACUGCUCCCGCUUGUCCUCGUCGGAUCCGGAGGCGGAAGGGCCGGUGAAUUUGCGUAUUAUCCAGGACGCCGAUGAGGUGAUGGAUGAGGAGGAUAGUGAUGAGGAGAUGAUGAAGAAGAGGAGAGCUACCACGGAGGGUUGCAGACUAUCGCACAUGAGGAUGCACAAAGAGGAGGGCUAUCGGGGGGGGUGGAGAUCAUCACUCAUCCUGCUCAGGAAGACACGAAUCUAGCGAUUAAUUUGGAAAAACGAGGAUGAGCAGAUGGUUGAUUAGGAGCACUUGGAGGCUGAUGCUGGCAAUGAUAUGACGCUAGUCACCAUGUACGCCCAUGCCGGCUUCCGGAAUGCCGCAAUAGGGGUGGGGCAGUAUGAGUUGUCAGCGCGUUUUGAGCAAAAUGCUGAACGCUCUCACCGCUGCCUCGCUCGCCAUCUUAAGCGUCUCCAACCCCCACCUAGAUAGUUCUCACGAUCCUACAUGUGGAUGCGCGUUAAACUGCAAACAGUGUUAUAUCGAGGUGUUUAAUUAGCAGUUGAAUGCUAUGUUUUGGAUUUCCUACAUUGAGUGGGUUUUGCAUGUUCAAACAUAGUGCCACAUGCAGAACUUGGCAAAAUAGCAACAUGCAGAACUUACCAAAAACAACAUCAUUCAAAACUUACUUAAAAUGGGGUCAAACUUGCAAUGUUGACUUUUUUUCAAAACUUGUGGUAUUGCAAGUUUAUGAUUUCUCCCAUAAACUAGUUGACACAAAAGGGCCCCAUACCCAAGGAUUUUAAUUUUUGAGGCUUUCUCGUUUUCUUUGAAUUUCUUCAACUUGGGUCAAACUUGCAAUGUUGACCAUUCAUACCAAAUGGUUUGGAAUUUAAACUUUGGUUGUGCCCAUUCCAUACACCACCAAUGCAAAAGCUUAAAAUAAUUUUAUCCAAGGAUCAAACUACAUCACACAUGUAGUUCAAAUUUGAGCAAUUCGCCAUAAUUCACUAUAAAUCCAUUAAAUCGAUGAAAUAUAGUAAUAAUACUCUGAAAUUCAUGAAACUUGGCCAGUGGGCUUCCAAUGCGGUCCACUUUAGAGGAAAAUGAGAAGACCCAGUGUUACAUCUUAUUUGAGGCACUUCCUUCAUAAAAAAGUUCAUUUCUGGCACUUGAAAAAUGGAAAUAAUAUUUUUUUAUUAACAAAAAAUAUUUUUUGUACCAACAUUGUUCACAGUAGCAACACCAAUGGUUGUGCCAGAAAUGAGCAUGUUAGCACUUGAAAAAUAAAAAUAAAUUAGUGUGUUCUACUUUGGUCAAAUAAAAAUAAAUAUAGUAAAUUAGUGUGAAUUAAAAAACACUUCUAUUAUCGUAAGACCAUCCAUGCUUACUUUGUGAACAAGAUGAUCAUGAACUAAAUCAUCUCCUUCACAAAGCAAGCUUUGAUGAUUUUAUUGUAAUAGAAGUUAUUUAGUGCAUCUGAAUGACGACGAUGCUAUUUAAGAUGGUCUGCGAGCCUCUCAUGCGGCGAUGUGGGACUAAACUUCAUCAUUUUGUAUGUUUGGUUCCCUUGGUUUCAUCGGGGAGUAUGCUUGGGCGAGGCGCAUUCAGAGAGAAUAAAACUUACAUAGCAGGCCAACACUGUGCAGCCUAGCCCACCUAGGGGCAACCCUGUCUUAAACCUCGCGCCUAGUGGCAUAGGAGGAUGCGUCCGGGAGCGCCUGCCCCAGCUACGCACCGUCGAGGGCUUCUUCAUCCACAGCUCUACACCAAGAGACAGUUACGAUACCACGAGUGCAAAUCUAUCUACUUUCCAUCACAUUCCCCUCCUCUUGCUUGAUCUCUAACCAUGAUUGAGAACGCCAUGGACACGGCGACUUCAAACGAUGUAGCCUAAGUGCUAUCCCCGACCCACCAGCAUGUCCUUUAGCUUCACAUCGACAGCGUGAACCUAUACGACAAAGAUCGCAAGACCGGACGCCCUGAAUCAUCGCCAUCGUGGCCUUCUUCGUUGUCUAUAGCCGGCAUCGCCGCUGUCGAUUUGUCGCCUACUUCCCAUCCCCGAGCUUGAUAAUGUGAUGUACAGCCUUACCGUGAACUCCAUAGAUUUUCCCUCUCUCCUUGUGAACGUUUUCAUGUCGUAGUGCCAUUAAUUGUGAGCCCCCUUUGCCGAGCACGUACGAGCUCAUGAUGACGCUCCGGUGACCAUUUGGUCAUCUGCCCAUGUUAAACUGCACAACACGUUGCCGCCGAACGACAUCAGCAGAAAAAAGCGUUCGAAUCUGUGCUCUAGAGGUAUGUUGCCUACAACCACAAAACUCCAGCCACGAUUGAACUCACCCACUGGUGUCGUUUCCGUCCACCCUCGGCCACCCUGAUGCCACCCAACGAUGCACACACGCACCAGCGACCCAUAGAGGCCAAGAUAUCGUCCAGCCAUCGCCGGAAUCGGCUGGACCAGCAACUCUACCCUGCCCUGCUAUCUAUCGGCAACUGACCAUCGAUUGGAUGACGUGGCCGGAGUUUACAGUGGGAACACAUGCCUGUAUCCAGGUAACGGUCAAAGGUGUUGACCCGGCGGAAAUGGUGUGUUUGGGCUUAUGUGAGGAUCAGCUAGAGGGAGAAGGGCAAAAGUGAGGUCAGUUUGUUGCCAUGGGUAAAACUGAGUAGAACUAUGGAACCGAGGGCAUGAAAAAAUCCCAAUGAUCUUACGAGGCAGAUUGGGCCAUCAUAGGUGACAUUCUGGGCCGUCAAUAAAAUGGGCAAUCGGUGACAUUAUUUGGCUCAUCACCUGAAAUGCGAUCUUGCAUGACGGAAGAAGUGGUACCAUCAAAAUUUUAUUUUCCAUGACGGCGCUUCUAUAACGGUGGGGGUGACGGCGUGAAAACGUCACGGGGGUAUUUUCCACAACAAAAAACGGUUAUGCGUGACACAAGUGAAAUGUUGCAAAAUAGACGAAAUUUUGCAGUUGGAGAAAAUGUUUUCUCAAAAUGUCACAUAGCAUAACACUGUUCAAAAAUCAAUGGUUGAUUAGCAUGCGUGGAUGUAUAAACUUUAAAUUCAUCAUGUGUGCUAUCAAACGUACAAAGCCAUAUGUUAGUAGUAAGUACUAUAGUGAUCCUAGAAAUGUUCACUAGGGUAAUUGCUUAAAGAUGAAGUACCUCAGUUGGAUGAAAGUUUAGCUUCUUGUCCUUGGAGGAGAUGAAGAGAUUGUUGUAAAUAGUUACACAAAUUAUUUGUUGUAAAGGUUACACAAGACAACUUCGUGACUGAUAUAAAUAAACUAUCAGGGCUAUCAAUUGUGAAAUAAUUUUCAAGAAAGAAACAUAAUUGUGGAUAUUAUAAAUGAUGUAGAUUGAGGCUUGAGAAGACUUCAAUAUAAUAUUAUCUGGAUCAAUAAUAAUUUAUUGAUAGACUAUGGCGUAAUACCAAAUGAAAAUUGACUAUAUGAUGAUAUAGCAAAUGGACUAUAUGGAGAUAUAGUGUUACUAUGAAAUGGACUAUAUAGAGAUAUAGUGUUACCAUUAAUGUGACACAAAAAAUUAAACAGAAAAACCAGAUAUUACCGACAGAAAUAACCUUGGGAUUUGAAGAGCAUCAGAUCUAGUGACGAAGGCUCUACCACUAGCAAAGCAUGAGCAACAUCAGAUAGCCGUAAGUGUUACAAGCAUGCAACUAGAUUAUUGACUCUACUGCAAGUGGGAGACUGUUGAAAAUAUGCCCUAGAGGCAAUAAUAUUUGUAUUAUUAUAUUCCCAUAUUCAUAAUUUUAGAGUUUAUAUUCUAUAUUAUAAUUGCCAUGAUCCUGGAUUAUGCGAUUCAAUGGAAAACUUAUAUGCAUGUGUGGAAUGAUAAAGGCCAAAUAAAAGGUUCCUAGUCUUACCUCUAGGACUAGCUCAAGUGUUGUUGGUUAUUGCAUUUUUUAGGAUAUCGUUAAGUGUAACGAUAGUCCUAAAAAAUAUUGAGAUUAUGACAUUGGAAAAACACUCAUAUUGAAUCGACCCAAAUUUGUGUGUUAUGAAUUGAGUUAAUAUCAUCUGUAAUCAAUUGUAAUAACACAAGGUGUUAACGUGUGAUUUUUCUCCUAAGACCAUGAGAGCAUUGUAGUCACUUCUUACCAUACAGUGGACUUUGUGGUUGCUCAAACAUCACCUGUAACACAGUGAUCAUAACGACAACUUACAGGUUCAUCGGAAAAUUUGGCAAGGGACUAGAUAGCUGGAGAGUCGGAUUUGCUCCUCCGACGAUGGAGAGAUAUUCUUAGGGGCGGCCCUCUCGGUGUGAAGACAUCCAUUAUCGUCUGGCCAGACACAGUGACUAUGUCAUGAGGAUGCCGGAAUACAAUAAUGAGAAAGAAGAACAAAACCGGUAACGAGGAUAACGAUAUAGUAAGCAUGGUGAUGACUCAUGAGGAUAAUGAUGCAUCCUGGGUUUUGUGAAGUGUCGCCAAGAAAAGGGAACAUCACAUGAUAACCAAAGGUUCACUCGAAUAUCAUUCGUGUGCUCAUAGGGAUGGAAAUGGACGUCCACGGUUCCGUUGUCGGUCAUUGAAUGAACGGUUUCGUCCAUGUCUAUGAGUUACGAAACCUACGGGCCACAAGAUUAAGGAAAUCAUGAUCUGCUGAGUGUUACUAGGACGGAAGUGAUGAGAACAUACUUUUGAAACAGUUUCAUUAAUAUUGGGAAUAGUUCCAGGAGGAUUCGGAAGCAUUUCGGGGUCACCGGAAGGGUUUAGGAGUAGGAUUUUCUACAAUAGCUUGCCACAUAACUAGUUAAGGUUUUCGACGGUGUAAAAGUUCUCAAAAAUCCUGAAAAAAUAAUGAACCAACACACCUAUAAUAUAACAUGAUCCAACGGAUGGAUUGAAAAAAUAUGACUGCAUGUGUCCUGGACAAAAAGAACAAAUGUUUCAAUAUAUAUUGAUCCUGCAGUGAGCUGAAAUGCUUGUUUUUCGCUGAGGACACAUAAAUGCAUAUUUUCAUAAUCACACCGUUGGAUCAUCUUAUUAUAUCAGAGUGAGGCUCCCCUAUUUAUUUCAUAUUUUUUACUCACUUUUAAACCGUUAAAUGUUUAGCAAGCCUUAACUAGUUCUGUGUGCGUGUGGAAAAUGUUUUCAGGAUGUUAAAAUUAUAUAUAAAAGGGUCUGAAAAUAUUUAUACCAAUUUAUAUUUAAUUCAAUAUUGACGGGCAUAAAGAAGCCAAAUGGUGGAAGGGAACUUGGGCCACCAAGGCCCAACCAGGGAGGCGCCCGCUUUCCCUAUGGAAGGAGGCCGAAUUGGGGACGUGGAAGGACUCCCCUUCCGUCCUUGGCCGACAUAAGGGGAGGGGAGUCCUUCUCCUCCUCUUGUCUGCCCUCUCUCCCCUCUAACACAUAUAUACUUGAGCUAUUGAGUUAUUUUGAACACAAGUUUGGAGCCUCCUCUAGUACCUUUAGUUAUAGUUCUAGUUGACCCUAGUUGAUCUAUUUAGAGCAAGACUAAUCCUCUAAUCCUUAUAAUUAAAAGUCAAGUGUGGUUCUAAUCUCCUCCCUCUAAUUCCAGUGAUGAUUAGCUCUUGGGCGAAGCAUUGCUGAAUCGUGGAUGUUGCAUGCUUGCAAUCAAGUAGAUAGGCCAUGCUUUUGGUCUUUGGUUCGAGGGAUCGUUCGUGAGUGGUUUGCGGUAUUGUUCAUGUUGGGGAACGUAGUAAUUUCAAAAAAUUUCCUACGCACACGCAAGAUCAUGGUGAUGCAUAGCAAUGAGAGGGGGGAGUGUUGUCCACGUACCCUCGUAGACCGAAAGCGGAAGCGUUAGCACAACGCGGUUGAUGUAGUCGUACGUCUUCACGAUCCGACCGAUCAAGUACCGAACGCACGGCACCUCCGAGUUCAGCACACGUUCAGCCCGAUGACGUCCCUCGAACUCCGAUCCAGCCAAGUGUUGAGGGAGAGUUUCGUCAGCACGACGGCGUGGUGACGAUGAUGAUGUUCUACCGACGCAGGGCUUCGCCUAAGCACCGCUACAGUAUUAUCGAGGUGGACUAUGGUGGAGGGGGGCACCGCACACGGCUAAAAGAUCAAACGAUCAAUUGUUGUGUCUCUAGGGUGCCCCCUGCCCCCGUAUAUAAAGGAGCAAGGGGNNNNNNNNNNNNNNNNNNNNNNNNNNNNNNNNNNNNNNNNNNNNNNNNNNNNNNNNNNNNNNNNNNNNNNNNNNNNNNNNNNNNNNNNNNNNNNNNNNNNNNACCGGGAGUAGGACUCCCUCCCUUUUCCUAGUUGGAUUAGGACUUGAGGGGGAAAGAGGUGGAGGAGAAGAAGGAAACGGGGGGGGGGGCGCCGCCCACCUCUCCUAGUCCUAUUCAGACUAGGGGGGAGGGGCGCGCGGCCCUUGCCCUGGCCGCCUUUCCUCUCUUCCACUAAGGCCCACUAUGGCCCAUUAACCUCCCGGGGGGUUCUGGUAACCUCCCGGUACUCCGGUAAAAUCCCGAUUUCACCCGGAACACUUCCGAUAUCCAAACAUAGGCUUCCAAUAUAUCAAUCUUCAUGUCUCGACCAUUUCAAGACUCCACGUCAUAUCCGUGAUCACAUCCGGGACUCCGAACAACCUUCGGUACAUCAAAACAUAUAAACUCAUAAUAUAACUGUCAUCAAAAUGUUAAGCGUGCGGACCCUACGGGUUCGAGAACUAUGUAGACAUGACCGAGACACGUCUCCGGUCAAUAACCAAUAGCGGAACCUGGAUGCUCAUAUUGGCUCCCACAUAUUCUACGAAGAUCUUUAUCGGUCAGACCGCAUAACAACAUACGUUGUUCCCUUUGUCAUCGGUAUGUUACUUGCCCGAGAUUCGAUAGUCGGUAUCUCAAUACCUAGUUCAAUCUCGUUACCGGCAAGUCUCUUUACUCGUUCUGUAAUACAUCAUCCCGCAACUAACUCAUUAGUUGCAAUGCUUGCAAGGCUUAUAGUGAUGUGCAUUACCGAGUGGGCCCAGAGAUACCUCUCCGACAAUCUGAGUGACAAAUCCUAAUCUCGAAAUACGCCAACCCAACAAGUACCUUUGGAGACACCUGUAGAGCACCUUUAUAAUCACCCAGUUACGUUGUGACGUUUGGUAGCACACAAAGUGUUCCUCCGGUAAACGGGAGUUGCAUAAUCUCAUAUUCAUAGGAACAUGUAUAAGUCAUGAAGAAAGCAAUAGCAACAUGCUAAACGAUCGGGUGCUAAGCUAACGGAAUGGGUCAAUUCAAUCACAUCAUUAUCCUAAUGAUGUGAUCCCGUUAAUCAAAUGACAACUCAUGUCUAUGGCUAGGAAACAUAACCAUCUUUGAUCAACGAGCUAGUCAAGUAGAGGCAUACUAGUGACACUUUGUUUGUCUAUGUAUUCACACAUGUAUCCUGUUUCCGGUUAAUACAAUUCUAGCAUGAAUAAUAAACAUUUAUCAUGAAAUAAGGAAAUAAAUAGUAACUUUAUUAUUGCCUCUAGGGCAUAUUUCCUUCAGUCUCCCACUUGCACUAGAGUCAAUAAUCUAGAUUACACAGUAAUGAUUCUAACACUCAUGGAGCCUUGGUGCUGAUCAUGUUUUGCUCGUGGAAGAGGCUUAGUCAAUGGGUCUGCAACAUUCAGAUCCGUAUGUAUCUUGCAAAUUUCUAUGUCUCCCACCUGGACUAAAUCCCGGAUGGAAUUGAAGCAUCUCUUGAUGUGCUUGGUUCUCUUGUGAAAUUUGGAUUCCUUCGCCAAGGCAAUUGUACCAGUAUUGUCACAAAAGAUUUUCAUUGGACCCGAUGCACUAGGUAUGACACCUAGAUCGGAUAUGAACUCCUUCAUCCAGACUCCUUCAUUUGCUGCUUCCGAAGCAGCUAUGUACUCCGCUUCACACGUAGAUCCCGCCACGACGCUUUGUUUAGAACUGCACCAACUGACAGCUCCACUGUUCAAUGUAAACACGUAUCCGGUUUGCGAUUUAGAAUCGUCCGGAUCAGUGUCAAAGCUUGCAUCAACGUAACUGUUUACAAUGAGCUCUUUGUCACCUUCAUAAACGAGAAACAUAUCCUUAGUCCUUUUCAGGUAUUUCAGGAUGUUCUUGACCGCUGUCCAGUGAUCCACUCCUGGAUUACUUUGGUACCUCACUGCUAGACUUAUAGCAAGGCACACAUCAGGUCUGGUACACAGCAUUGCAUACAUGAUAGAGCCUAUGGCUGAAGCAUAUGGAACAUCUUUCAUUUUCUCUCUAUCUUCUGCAGUGGUCGGGCAUUGAGUCUUACUCAACUUCACACCUUGUAACACAGGCAAGAACCCUUUCUUUGCUUGAUCCAUUUUGAACUUCUUCAAAACUUUGUCAAGGUAUGUGCUUUGUGAAAGUCCAAUUAAGCGUCUUGAUCUAUCUCUAUAGAUCUUGAUGCCCAAUAUAUAAGUAGCUUCACCGAGGUCUUUCAUUAAAAACUCUUAUUCAAGUAUCCCUUUAUGCUAUCCAGAAAUUCUAUAUCAUUUCCAAUCAACAAUAUGUCAUCCACAUAUAAUAUCAGAAAUGCUACAGAGCUCCCACUCACUUUCUUGUAAAUACAGGCUUCUCCAAAAGUCUGUACAAAACCAAAUGCUUUGAUCACACUAUCAAAGCGUUUAUUCCAACUCCGAGAGGCUUGCACCAAUCCAUAAAUGGAUCGCUGGAGCUUGCACACUUUGUUAGCUCCCUUUGGAUUGACAAAACCUUUCGGUUCCAUCAUAUACAACUCUUCUUCUAGAAAUCCAUUCAGGAACGCAGUUUUGACAUCCAUUUGCCAAAUUUCAUAAUCAUAAAAUGCGGCAAUUGCUAACAUGAUUCGGACAGACUUAAGCAUCGCUACGGGUGAGAAGGUCUCAUCGUAGUCAAUCCCUUGAACUUGUCGAAAACCUUUCGCAACAAGUCGAGCUUUAUAGACAGUAACAUUACCGUCUGCGUCAGUCUUCUUCUUGAAGAUCCAUUUAUUCUCAAUUGAUUGCCAAUCAUCGGGCAAGUCAACCAAAGUCCACACUUUGUUCUCAUACAUGGAUCCCAUCUCAGAUUUCAUGGCCUCAAGCCAUUUGGCGGAAUCUGGGCUCACCAUCGCUUCUUCAUAAUUCGUAGGUUCGUCAUGGUCUAGUAACAUAACUUCCAGAACAGGAUUACCGUACCACUCUGGUGCGGAUCUUACUCUGGUUGACCUACGAGGUUCAGUAACAACUUGAUCUGAAGUUCUAUGAUCAUCAUCAUUAACUUCCUCACUAAUUGGUGUAGGUGUCGCAGAAACCGGUUUCUGCGAUGAACUACUUUCCAAUAAGGGAGAAGGUACAGUUACCUCAUCAAGUUCUACUUUCCUCCCACUCACUUCUUUCAAGAGAAACUCCUUCUCUAGAAAAAUUCCGAAUUUAGCAACAAAGGUCUUGCCUUCGGAUCUGUGAUAUAAGGUGUACCCAACAGUCUCCUUUGGGUAUCCUAUGAAGACACAUUUCUCCGAUUUGGGUUCGAGCUUAUCAGGUUGAUGCUUUUUCACAUAAGCAUUGCAGCCCCAUACUUUCAGAAAUGACAACUUUGGUUUCUUGCCAAACCACAGUUCAUAAGGCGUCGUCUCAAUGGAUUUCGAUGGUGCCCUAUUUAAUGUGAAUGCGGCCGUCACUAAAGCAUAACCCCAAAACGAUAGCGGUAAAUCAGUAAGAGACAUCAUAGAUCGCACCAUAUCUAGUAAAGUACGAUUAAGACGUUCGGACACACCAUUACGCUGUGGUGUUCCGGGUGGCGUGAGUUGCGAAACUAUUCCGCAUUGUUUCAAAUGAAGACCAAACUCAUAACUCAAAUAUUCCCCUCCACGAUCAGAUCGUAGAAACUUUAUUUUCUUGUUACGAUGAUUUUCAACUUCACUCUGAAAUUCUUUGAACUUUUCAAACGUUUCAGACUUAUGUUUCAUUAAGUAGAUAUACCCAUAUCUGCUUAAAUCAUCUGUGAAGGUGGGAAAAUAACGAUAUCCACCACGAGCCUCAACAUUCAUCGGACCACAUACAUCUGUAUGUAUGAUUUCCAACAAAUCUGUUGCUCUCUCCAUAGUACCAGAGAACGGCGUUUUAGUCAUCUUGCCCAUGAGGCACGGUUUGCAAGUACCAAGUGAUUCAUAAUCAAGUGGUUCUAAAAGUCCAUCAGUAUGAAGUUUCUUCAUGCGCUUUACACCGAUAUGACUUAGACGGCAGUGCCACAAAUAAGUUGCACUAUCAUUAUCAACUUUGCAUCUUUUGGCUUCAAUAUUAUGAAUAUGUGUAUCACUACUAUCGAGAUUCAACAAAAAUAGACCACUCUUCAAGGGAGCAUGGCCAUAAAAGAUAUUACUCAUAUAAAUAGAACAACCAUUAUUCUCUGAUUUAAAUGAAUAACCGUCUCGCAUCAAACAAGAUCCAGAUAUAAUGUCCAUGCUCAACGCUGGCAUCGAAUAAUAAUUAUUUAGGUCUAAUACUAAUCCCGAAGGUAGAUGUAGAGGUAGCGUGCCGACCGCGAUCACAUCGACUUUGGAACCAUUUCCCACGCGCACCGUCACCUCGUCCUUAGCCAAUCUUCGCUUAAUCCGUAGCGCCUGUUUCGAGUUGCAAAUAUUAGCAACAGAACCAGUAUCAAAUACCCAGGUGCUACUGCGAGAAUUAGUAAGGUACACAUCAAUAACAUGUAUAUCACAUAUACCUUUGUUCACCUUGCCAUCCUUCUUAUCCGCCAAAUACUUGGGGCAGUUCCGCUUCCAGUGACCAGUCUGCUUGCAGUAGAAGCACUCAGUCUCAGGCUUAGGUCCAGACUUGGGUUUCUUCUCCUGAGCAGCAACUUGCUUGCUGUUCUUCUUGAAGUUCCCCUUCUUCUUCCCUUUUCCCUUUUUCUUGAAACUGGUGGUCUUAUUGACCAUCAACACUUGAUGCUCCUUUUUGAUUUCUACCUCCGCAGCCUUUAGCAUUGCGAAGAGCUUGGGAAUCAUCUUAUCCAUCCCUUGCAUGUUAUAGUUCAUCACGAAGCUCUUGUAGCUUGGUGGCAGUGAUUGGAGAAUUCUGUCAAUGACGCUAUCAUCCGGAAGAUUAACUCCCAGUUGAAUCAAGUGAUUAUUAUACCCAGACAUUUUGAGUAUAUGCUCACUGACAGAACUAUUCUCCUCCAUCUUGCAGCUGUAGAACUUAUUGGAGACUUCAUAUCUCUCAAUCCGGGCAUUUGCUUGAAAUAUUAACUUCAACUCCUGGAACAUCUCAUAUGCUCCAUGACGUUCAAAACGUCGUUGAAGUCCCGGUUCUAAGCCGUAAAGCAUGGCACAUUGAACUAUCGAGUAGUCAUCAGCUUUGCUCUGCCAGACAUUCUUAACGUCGUCAGUUGCAUCAGCAGCAGGCAUGGCACCCAGCGGUGCUUCCAGGACGUAAUUCUUCUGUGCAGCAAUGAGGAUAAUCCUCAAGUUACGGACCCAGUCCGUGUAAUUGCUACCAUCAUCUUUCAACUUUGCUUUCUCAAGGAACGCAUUAAAAUUCAACGGAACAACAGCACGGGCCAUCUAUCUACAAGCAAGAUACUAUCAGGUACUAAGUUCAUGAUAAAUUUAAGUUCAAUUAAUCAUAUUACUUAAGAACUCCCACUUAGGUAGACAUCCCUCUAAUCCUCUAAGUGAUCACGUGAUCCAAAUCAACUAAACCAUGUCCGAUCAUCACGUGAGAUGGAGUAGUUUCAAUGGUAAACAUCACUAUGUUGAUCAUAUCUACUAUAUGAUUCACGCUCGACCUUUCGGUCUCCGUGUCCCGAGGCCAAAUCUGUUAUAUGCUAGGCUCGUCAAGUUUAACCUGAGUAUUCCGCGUGUGCAACUGUUUUGCACCCGUUGUAUUUGAACGUAGAGCCUAUCACACCCGAUCAUCACAUGGUGUCUCAGCACGAAGAACUUUCGCAACGGUGCAUACUCAGGGAGAACACUUAUACUUUGAUAAUUUAGUGAGGGAUCAUCUUAUAAUGCUACCGUCAAUCAAAGCAAGAUAAGAUGCAUAAAAGAUAAACAUCACAUGCAAUCAAUAUAAGUGAUAUGAUAUGGCCAUCAUCAUCUUGUGCUUGUGAUCUCCAUCUCCGAUGCACCGUCAUGAUCACCAUCGUCACCGGCGCGACACCUUGAUCUCCAUCGUAGCAUCGUUGUCGUCUCGCCAAUCUUAUGCUUCUACGACUAUCGCUACCGCUUAGUGAUAAAGUAAAGCAUUACAGGGCGAUUGCAUUGCAUAAAAUAGAACGACAACCAUAUGGCUCCUGCCGGUUGCCGAUAACUCGGUUACAAAACAUGAUCAUCUCAUACAAUAAAAUUUAGCAUCGUGUCUUGACCAUAUCACAUCACAACAUGCCCUGCAAAAACAAGUUAGACGUCCUAUACUUUGUUGUUGCAAAUUUUACGUGGCUGCUACGGGCUUAGCAAGAACCGUUCUUACCUACGCAUCAAAAUCACAAUGAUAGUUUGUCAAGUUGGUGCUGUUUUAACCUUCGCAAGGACCGGUCGUAGCCACACUCAGUUCAACUAAAGUUGGAGAAACUGACACCCGCCAGCCACCUAUGUGCACAGCACGCCGGUAGAACCAGUCUCGCGUAAGCGUACGCGUAAUGUUGGUCCAGGCUGCUUCAUCCAACAAUACCGCCGAACCAAAGUAUGACAUGCUGGUAACCAGUAUGACUUAUAUCGCCCACAACUCACUUGUGUUCUACUCGUGCAUAUGACAUCUACGCAUAAAACCAGGCUUGGAUGCCACUGUUGGGGAACGUAGUAAUUUCAAAAAAAUUCCUACGCACACGCAAGAUCAUGGUGAUGCAUAGCAACGAGAGGGGAGAGUGUUGUCCACGUACCCUCGUAGACCAAAAGCGGAAGCGUUAGCACAACGCGGUUGAUGUAGUCGUAUGUAUUCACGAUCCGACCGAUCAAGUACCGAACGCACGGCACCUCCGAGUUCAGCACACGUUCAGCCCGAUGACGUCCCUUGAACUCCGAUCCAGCCGAGUGUUGAGGGAGAGUUUUGUCAGCACGACGGCGUGGUGACGAUGAUGAUGUUCUACCGACGCAGGGCUUCGCCUAAGCACCGCUACAGUAUUAUCGAGGUGGACUAUGGUGGAGGGGGGCACCGCACACGGCUAAAAGAUCAAACGAUCAAUUGUUGUGUUUCUAGGGUGCCCCCUGCCCCCGUAUAUAAAGGAGCAAGGGGGGGUGCGGCCGGCCAGGAGGAGUCCUACUCCCACCGGGAGUAGGACUCCCUCCCUUUUCCUAGUUGGAUUAGCACUUGGGGGAAAGAGGUGGAGGAGAAGAAGGAAACGGGGGGGGGGGCGCCGCCCCCCUCUCCUUGUCCUAUUCGGACUAGGGGGAGGGGCGCACGGCCCUUGCCCUGGCCGCCUUUCCUCUCUUCCACUAAGGCCCACUAUGGCCCAUAAACCUCCCCGGGGGUUCCGGUAACCUCUUGGUACUCCGGUAAAAUCCCGAUUUCACCCGGAACACUUCCGAUAUCCAAACAUAAGCUUCCAAUAUAUCAAUCUUCAUGUCUCGACCAUUUCGUGACUCCUCGUCAUAUCCGUGAUCACAUCCGGGACUCCGAACAACCUUCGGUACAUCAAAACAUAUAAACUCAUAAUAUAACUGUCAUCGAAACGUUCAGCGUGCGGACCCUACGGGUUCAAGAACUAUGUAGCAUGACCGAGACACAUCUCCGGUCAAUAACCAAUAGCGGAACCUGGAUGCUCAUAUUGGCUCCCACAUAUUCUACGAAGAUCUUUAUCGGUCAGACCGCAUAACAACAUACGUUGUUCCCUUUGUCAUUGGUAUGUUACUUGCCCGAGAUUCGAUCGUCGGUAUCUCAAUACCUAGUUCAAUAUCGUUACCGGCAAGUCUCUUUACUCGUUCUGUAAUACAUCAUCCCGCAACUAACUCAUUAGUUGCAAUGCUUGCAAGGCUUAUAGUGAUGUGCAUUACCGAGUGGGCCCAGAGAUACCUCUCCAACAAUCGGAGUGACAAAUCCUAAUCUCGAAAUACGCCAACCCAACAAGUAACUUUGGAGACACCUGUAGAGCACCUUUAUAAUCACCCAGUUACGUUCUGACGUUUGGUAGCACACAAAGUGUUCCUCCGGUAAACGGGAGUUGCAUAAUCUCAUAGUCAUAGGAACAUGUAUAAGUCAUGAAGAAAGCAAUAGCAACAUACUAAACGAUCGGGUGCUAAGCUAACGAAAUGGGUCAAGUCAAUCACAUCAUUCUCCUAAUGAUGUGAUCCCGUUAAUCAAAUGACAACUCAUGUCUAUGGCUAGGAAACAUAACCAUCUUUGAUCAACGAGCUAGUCAAGUAGAGGCAUACUAGUGACACUCUAUUUGUCUAUGUAUUCACACAUGUAUCAUGUUUCCGGUUAAUACAAUUCUAGCAUGAAUAAUAAACAUUUAUCAUGAAAUAAGGAAAUAAAUAAUAACUUUAUUAUUGCCUCUAGGGCAUAUUUCCUUCAGUUCAUCGAUGGUUCGAAGGACUUCAAGUACAAUCUACACUAACACAAUCUUCUUCAGCUGCAACUCGGUGAUGGUAACGAUCGUGAUCUCAACCCGUUAUGCAUCUUCAUAUUGAUCCUAAUUAUGCAUAGGUGCGGAUUUUUUUGUUUUCUACUAUGUUUCUCGACAAAUAAAUAUUUAACAUAUGCAAGGAAGGAGAACGAAACAUUGAAAAUUCUAUCACAAAGAGAGGUAACUGAGUAACAUGAAAAUUUAUAUAACCAUAUUUGCCUCUCUCAAAAUAUUUACAUUGAGGAUCAUAAUCAAAUUCAAUAAUAUAGCUAUCAUGUAAAGCAUUCUAUUUAUGACCUUCACAUGCAUAAAAAGUUUGUAAUCUUCCAAGAUAGUGGGAUUAACAUCCACUAAAUUUAUGACCUGUCCAAACCCACUUCUAUCAAAAAUUUCAUAAGAUUGAAUGUUCUCCAAAAUAAUGGGAUUCUUUUUACCUAAAGUUUACGCUCUUUCAAAGCCACUUACAAUAGGUUUGCAAAAAAAUUUACCAAUAGCAUAUUUAUCAUGAAGCUCAAAUAAAUUUUCAAGAUCACAAAAAGUAUCAUAAUUAUCAUCCCAAUCAUGAUCAUUAUAGUAAGUAGUAGGCAUACUAAAAUCAUAUUCAAUAGUGCCUACAAACAUAGUGUCAUCAUAAAAAGCAAUAUCAAGUUUGUCAUCUUCAUCACUUGAAUCAUAGAGAUUAUCAUAUUUUUUUUCUUUAUAACUUCUUCAUUAGUAGGGGGGAUAAAAAUAUCAUGCUCAUCAAACUCAUCAUCCCUAAGCUUAUAGCUUUGCAUAUCAUUAACAUUAUUGAUAUUUAUAGUAGACAUACUAAUAACAUUGCAAUCAUACUUUUUAUUCAAGGAACUAUUAUGGAUCACUUCAUAAAAUUCUUCUUCUAACACUUCAUAACAAUUUUUAGAUUCACGAUUUUUGAAGAAAAACUUCAUAAAGAUAAUGAAGUGCACUCAACUUCAUCUUAUCUUUCAAAGAACAUAUUAGGCAUCAAGUAGGCCAGAAUUAAUCAUUUUAGGCGACAAUUAGGUAGCUUCGCUUGGUCUCGGACAAGUUUUCAGGCCGUCCGCCUUGCAGGAGCCUUGCGGCAGCUAACUUUUCGGGCCAAUCAACCUCUGUAUAUGGGCCAACCAUAGUGCCUCCCGAUAGCAUGCACUUUGGCUUGUUGCGCUUGGGUAUGGAACGUGUAAUAGGAUCACUCAUUAUGUAUGCAAGACCUGUGUGAAAGUGUUCUAGCCUACGUGCGACAUGCAGUCACGACUGGCCUCCAUCAUUAUGAAGGUUCGUGGCCGAGAACCAUGGAUCUGGUGGCGACUCACCUCCAGCGUUCGUGCUUUUCUUUUUUCCUUUAUUUUCUAUUUUUAUUUUUAAACCCAGGAUUUAAAUAUGGUAUGAAUUAGCCCAAAUUCAAACCAUUUCAAAUCCUUUAAACUCAAAACUAUCCUACGAAAACUAGGGCAUGGCUAGGUCCGGGGUCAAAGAGUAGGUCUGACACGAGCUGGUUAUAUCUGGCAUUGGCAAUGAUUUUUUUUACGCUGUUACUUUGUUGAAGGCAUGUCUCGGAUAUGCUCUGAGCCUCCGACUGAAUAUUUAGGGUGAAAACCUAGAUUCUAGUCUUGGUGGUUUGCUCCGGUGAAGGUAAGGUUAUUUUUCAAGGUGUUGAUGUUGAACAACCUCGUGUCCUCAUCGUCUAGGUGAUGUCAUGAGAUGUGCUGCGCGGUUGGCUGGCGCCGCCGGCGGUGUGUGCUGCACAUCGACCUGUGAUCUUGUCGGGGUCUUCCCUCCGGAUCAAGUGGUCGAUCAGCGGCCCCACAUCAUAGGUUCUCGUGCGGUGUCUCCUCUGGCGGCCAAUGGACUAGGGACAUCUAGAUCUUGGCUGGACAAGGCAUUACGUUAGCAUGUGUCAAGCAGGUAUAAAGGAACGAGUUGCAUGCUUACGCUGAUGUACGGUGGCUCACCAGGCAACUCUUGGAUCUUGGUGCAUGGAGCCGUCUGAUGGCCCUUGUGGGCUCUUCACGACACACUUGAUCCUAAAGCGCGGCGUCUCCUCGCUACAGUUAUCGCCAUGGCCCGCACACGGAUGUAACGACGGGCAUUGUCAUCUAUGACAUCUUACACGGGCAUGGUUAAUAGGCAUCGCGAUCCCAUGAAGGUUUGCGGCCGGCAACCAUUGAUUUGUUGGCGACCGCUGGCGGCGCUAUGAUCCACGGCUUGGUGGUGGUGAUUCAGAUUCGAUUGGCCGAGUGAGGGUGACUACACACUUUGGUGGAGCGACCUCCUACAACUCCACGAAGGCGGUGGUCAUUGCAAGAUCUUCGAGAGUGUUCAUCUCAAUAUUCAGUGGUUGACUUCGGCAGUGAGGUGUAAAUUAUGGGUGACAACUUGACACACAAGAAUGGUUGUGCAGUGGCGGCGGUUGCAUCGCAUGUAGCUGCUUGGAUCGUAAAAAAGUGGUGGCAACAACACUUGUAUGACUUCGAUGGUGGUGCUACUCGAGCACCCGGUUGCAAGGUGUGGGGUGAAAGCCUAGGUAUGAUACGAGCUGGUUAUACCUGGCAAUGGCGAUGUUUUUUUUUACGACGUUACCUAGUGGAAGGCAUUGCUCUAAUAUGCUCUGAUUAAAUCUUCAGGGUGAAAACCUAGAUUCUGACAUUGGUAGUUAGAUCCGAUGACGGCGAUGAUAUUCUUCAAGGCGUUGCAGUUGAAGAAUUUCCUUGUCUGGGUGAUGUCAUGAUAUGAUUAGUGCGGAUAUGGUGUUUAUUGUAGUUUGUCGAUCUUAGAUCUGAUCACUUUUGGUUUUUCUUUUUUCCUCGGCUAUGCAUUAUUUUGGUCUCAUAUGACUUUACUAUUUGCCGCCAUGUUUUUGAGUGUAUGCGUUGGUGUUGACUGUGUGCAUCCUAAUUAUGCAGAGGCCAGAUGUGUGCUCUUUGGGUUUGUAUCGUCUUUAUGCUCCUUUUUGAGCCAAUAAAAUUCACCCUUUGUCCAAAAAUGUGUCUGGUAUUUGGUUUGAGCCAAUUCUUUAUACUUGUCAACAAUUGGCAUGCCAAAUAUUGGCAUCAAAUAAUCUAGCCUUGUAAUCUUGUCAUUCAGUUUGCAUAAAAUAUGUACUCAUGACCUAAUCCUCCGUCGGUCUCUUUUGACGCAAGUUUAAUAUAGCAAGGUUAUGAUGUGCCAUAAAAAUGCGCCAACAACAUAGAAAUAGGACGACCCCUGUCAUGAAUCUGGCUAAAACUAUUAAUUAUUUUGAGCCUCAAUUACAUGGAUACAGGUUGUAAACCAGAACAGACGUAUAACACACACCCCACACGCACGCACGCACACACACCACUAAACAACCCGCUAUGCGUGUAACAAGAUCUACACUCCAUACAUACACGACACGUCUCGAGAAACUUUCAAACAAUUAACCUCUUACUUUCUAUCUUAUCGAGUGGAAGAACAACCCCCGUUCAAUAAAAAAGUAAGAUUUAGAUGCUAUAUCUAUCAAGAUUUGGGCUACAACCACUUCCCUUCUGGAGUUACAAUCUGGCGGCUAGGAGUUGGUGGCCCUACUAUCGUCUCUUUCUUAGCCUCCGGCCUGCGCGCCGUGUAGUGGCCUGGGAGUCAUGUACGUUUGCUUUCUAAUACUUGCGUUUUGGGCGUUGAAACUCUCUGAUUGGUUAUGUUUUGCGUCGUGGCUACGUUGUUAACUCUGCCUGGUGGCUUUAUUUAUAAAGUCAGGCUCUAGCCUUUUCUGUAAAAAAAAAAUUAAACUUUGGGAAACUUGACAUGAUUUGUUGCUUGAAACUUAUGAAAUCAUAAAAAUAAGAUCAACCAAUAUCUCAUACAAAAAAUACUAUCAUUUGUGAAUAUGCUAUGAAUAAUUUGCAGAAUAGAAGAGAAACAUAUAGAAGAAUGUUGGGAUAAAAAAAUACAAUGUGCGACUACAAAUAAUGGAAUAUAUAGGUGGCACCGCAAGGGGCUGAAAGGACAUGGUUCAUUGUGCAGCAAAAGUACGGUUCGACUCUCAAAGCAGCAGGUUUGUUGGUGCACGCACGCUGUCAUUUGGGUGCAAAUUAAAUGGUGAUUCUUAAUUAGUUGGGGAUGGAGCACACGCUCCUGACCUGGCCCUGAGAGCCAGUCAACGGGCUGAGGUUGGCCAUCUUCGCCAUGGCGGAGGCGAAGGCGCUAAAGAAGGCGGCCUGGCUAGAAGCGAAGGCCUUAACGAUGUCCUCGGUGGCACCGGCGGCUGCGGUGGCGUUGUACAGCACCUGUUCGGAGUGAAGGAGGCCCUUCUCGGACUGGAGGUUGAUGAAGUAGUCGUUGUUGAACAAGUCCGGGUUCGGGGGGAUCGUUGUGUCGUCGUCGAGCGGGGCCAGGUUGGUGUUGCCGCCGGACUGGGGGCAGUUGAACUUGAGCUUGGUCGCGUAGGUCGUGUUGAUGUUGGACUCGUUGUAGAGCCUGCCCCUGAAGUUCUGGCACUGCGCCAUCCCGAUGGUGUGGCCGCCAGAGAGGGCGACCAUGUCGGUCAGGUUGAACCCCUUGCCGACGAAGCUGGCGUUGAGGCCGGCGACGCCCAAGAACGGCGCAGGCAGGUUCUGGUCGAUGCAUCUGGCCCUUCGGGAGGGCACCUCCCGACCCCGACUCCUCCGCCCGACCCCGUGCGGCCGCCGCCGGGUCGCACCGGGCGGCCACAUCCCGAUCUCCCCUCGACUCCCCGUGCACCCCCUUCCUCCGCCGCCGCCGGCAACGUCGCUGGGCGAAGGCCCCGUGGCGCGGCGGCGGCAGACCUCCUCUCGCAUCCUGAGAUCUGAGGCUGCGGUGGCCUGAUUUGGAUCUCCCUCCCGACGAGGAUGGUGGGCAGCGGCGGCCGGGGCGCGACGGGGGGUUUGGCUGCAGCCGGCGUGAGUAGUACGAGAUGGCGGCAGCGGCGGCCGGGGCGCGUCCCGGGCUGCCGUUACGUCCUCAAACAGCUGCAUCUCAUCGGAUUUGGCGACGGCUCGCUGAAGCACUCCGGGUCUGCAUUGCAUCACGAGGAUUAUGGCGGUGGUGGUCAUCUCCUAGGUCGGAGGUGGUCGACCUGACACUGGAUGAUCGGAUCUCGAGAUCUGUAAUCUAGUCCCGGCUGCGAGUCGGGGAGACAUAGUUGCCGGUGAAAACCGAGCCGAUGGCGGCGUUCUGCGCCGUUACCUUGAUGAAGGCAUCGUUCUGUAACUACUGUCGACCCACUCGUGCUGCUCCGGGGGAAACCCUAUGAUCUGGUUUUUCAGAUCGGACGAUGGCGGCACUGCGGUGUCGUUUCUCUCUUGGAGCAUCGUUUGUGGAGCAGCGCUGGAAGUCAGAGGCAGGAGGUGGAGCGGCUUCGUCUUGCACGGAGCUUCGGUGGAGAUGUCAAGUCAUGCCUGACCGACAGGUGCUACGCUUUGUCAUGCCUGGUCGGCAGGUGCUACACACGACAGAUCUUCUAAGGACUUCAAGCUGUGUCGGCUGGUGGUAUUUGGCAGCAUGGCGCUGAGGUGUAUCAGUGGCGACCGCGACGUGCUCAGCUGUUUGCGCGCAGGGAGGAGGUGCCGUUGGGCGGCGUGGUGGCGUCGACGAUAGCUAGACCGAGCAAGUUUGAUGCAUCAGUACGAUUCUGAAGAUGGAGCGGUGGCAGUUGGCGGCGGCGGCCUCUGAGAGCACGCCGGACCAGUGUGUGCCCCAGACCCGGCAAGUGGCUAGGUUGGGGUCUCAGGUCUUAGAUGUUAGGCUUGGCUGCGAUGUCUGUUUGGUAUUAGGCCCAGACUAUCUGCGCCCCUUCAUCAACUGGAUAGGUGUAGCGACAGUCUGUUGCUUAGACGGCGGCUUUAGUCUUUUUUUAUCACUUUGUAAGGUCUUAUAAGAAUAAUUAAUAAAGUGGCCGUAUGCAUCGCCCAGAUGCAGAGGCUGGGGUCAUCUUCCUUUUCUAAAAAAAAGGCAGGUUCUGGUUGGCCUGUGUCACACUAGCCAUGGUGGAGUCCCUCCUCCCCAGCUUAACCUCCCACGAGGGCCCAUGCGUUGCAACGGGACAUAAAUUUUAGUUGUUCUACAUCAAUUUAGAAGGGGUUACAUUUGUGUAAUAUGUUCUUUGUUCUACAACCAUACCUAGAUGUGAUUAUAGUUCAGUUAGAAAUCUGAGAUUAUUUUGCUCUAGAAAUGAACAUUAGCCCUCAGAACAUCAACACGAUGCGUGUCUUGUACGUAAUUGAGGAGUAGUAUAUAUUGUACUCCCUCCGUCCCAAUAUAAAUGACUUGAAUUUGUACUAACUUUGUACUAAGGCUAAUAUAAAGUUGAGUCACUUAUUUGAGAUGAAGGGAGUAGGUAGUAACAAAAGUUGUUGUCUAGGUAGUGAAAAAAAAACAGCUAACAAAAAUCAUGGCUUUGUUAAUCAGGCAACCACGUUAAGUAAGCAAAACCCCUCAUUUAUCUGGUAGGUGGGAUUGCGGAAUAGUACCUCAAAAGAACUGGGAAAUAAUGCAAAAAAACAAAUUGAUAAUAUUGUACUAUGUAAUUUAGAAAUGCUCAAACAUUUUCAUAUGAUGAUUUCAUUAGCCUUUUAUACCACAUUGUAUACAUGAACGUAGUUUUCAGAUCGAACACCUUAUAGGCACAAUUUUGGAUGAGACACGUUGUGUUAUGAAGUUAUAAUUCAGGUGGCACUCAUUUUUCUUUCCAAAAUAUUUGAGUUGAGACCUGUCUCGAGCAUAGUUACGGCAUAAUCGAGCAGAGUUCAGGCAUAACCUAUUCCAUUAAACAAAUAACAUUUUUUCUAAGUAAAAUUCCAUGAUCACAUCUGAGACCUAUCUUGAACAGAGUUAAGGCAUAAUCUAUCCCAUUAAUGAAAUACUAACAUUUCCCUAUUCUGCUCAAUACAAUUUCAUGAUCACAAUUGCAUAAACUACUUAUUAUCAACAACACAAAACUACUGGAGAUUAGAGCAAUCAUGCAAGAAGAAAAGCGAUGGAAAUAUAUUAAUGAUUUGCAAAAUAAACAAAGCAGGAUCAAAAGAGGCAUCACACCAGGCUAUUCACACUUACGUAGCAAUUGCUUCUGCCGGUAACAUCUUCAGUCACAACCAUAACACCAGAAUGCACUUCAUUUAUUAUUAUCACAAAAAGGACGUAUACACCAACCACUCUAUACAUUUUCCCCACAAAGAACCACUCUAUACAUGUUCCUCCAAAUGUUUACAUCCUCCAGCACUUUCUUCCCUCUCACCCUGAUGCAUGCCACCCUCUCCAGCACUUGCCUCCUCAGCCCUCGGUACUCUACUCCUACAUAGCAGUUAUACACAAGCAAGGUAUUCACUCGGGAAAAAAUAUAUUUCAACCAAGUAGAUGCAGAUGAAUAUGAUCGAGUGGAAGAAGAAUCAAGAACUUAUAUUUAUACCAUGAGGUCUAUGAAAAAUAAUAAACUCACUGAGGAGAAGAAACAUGAUGUCAUUGCGUCGCUUUCGAACCACCGGG
rnacentral:lncRNA from 1 species